AACGAACGCUGGCGGCAGGCUUAACACAUGCAAGUCGAGCGCCCCGCAAGGGGAGCGGCAGACGGGUGAGUAACACGUGGGAACGUGCCCAAAGGUACGGAACAACUCCGGGAAACUGGAGCUAAUACCGUGUGUGCCCGAGAGGGGAAAGAUUUAUCGCCUUUGGAUCGGCCCGCGUCUGAUUAGCUAGUUGGCGGUGUAAUGGACCACCAAGGCGACGAUCAGUAGCUGGUCUGAGAGGAUGACCAGCCACACUGGGACUGAGACACGGCCCAGACUCCUACGGGAGGCAGCAGUGGGGAAUAUUGGACAAUGGGCGCAAGCCUGAUCCAGCCAUGCCGCGUGAGUGAUGAAGGCCUUAGGGUUGUAAAGCUCUUUCGCCGAGGACGAUAAUGACGGUACUCGGAUAAGAAGCCCCGGCUAACUACGUGCCAGCCGCCGCCGUAA
rnacentral:rRNA from 1 species